GGCAGCCCUCAGUACCUUCCCUUGAACUUAUUUGUGACACAAAUUCCUUUGCUCACGUUUUCUUGCGGACCUUCUCCCCACUGUCACCCUGUUCUCCGGCCGCAUUCCUCUUGCUGAGAUAGUGAAAAGAGUAAUCAGUAAAUACUGAGGGAGCUCAGAGACCGGUGCCGGUGUGGGUCCCCCAUAUGCUGAGCGCCGGUCCCCUGGGCCCAUUUUUCUUUCUCUAUGCUUUGUCUCUGUGUCUUAUUUCUUUUCUGUCUCUCAUCCUGCCUGACGAGAAAUAGCGACAGGUGUGGAGGGGCUGGUCCCCUUUGUUCUAUAGUUAUUAUAAAUGUACAGGAAUGUUAAAAGGAACUUGUGUGUAUAAUGCCACUCAGUACAAGGUAUGUAGCCCAGGAAAUGACCAAUCUGAUGGGUGUUAUAACCCAUCCAAGCCCCCUGCAACCGUCGUUUUUAAAAUAAAAAACUGGUCCUUUCCUUGGCGAUACAAGUAAAAUAAUAACUAGAAGAGAAGAAAAAGAAAUUCCCAAACAAGUAACUUUAAAAUUUGAUCCUUGUGCAGCCAUUAAUAGUAACAAGCUAGAGUUAAAAUGGAGUUCUCUCAACUAGGAAAAGAGCUACACAGUAAAAAAUAAAUAAGUUUGUCAUAAGUCAAGGGUCUGAAAAUUGUGCCUAUUGGCCAUGCGUUAUUUAGGCUACUUUAAAAAAGGACAGAAAAGACCCAGUUCACCUUCAAAAAGGGGAAGCCAGUCUCUCCUGUGCUACCAGUCACUGUAACCCACGAGAGCUAAUGAUCUAUCCCCUAGACCCCCACUGGAAGGAGAACAUGUAGGCCUGGGGAUCACUGGGACAGGGCUAAACCCCCAAGUUGCUGUUUUAGUCCAAGGGGAGGUCCACAGGCACUCUCCCAAACCAGUGUUUCAAGCCUUUUAUGAUGAGCUGAAUCGGCUAGCACCAAAGCUUCCGAAAAAGACAGAGCCACACACCCUGCAUCACCCAGGUAGGGAAAAUGAGCUGGGCUGUGGGUGCUGGGAAAGCCGUGCCUGCAGCCCCCUUCACAGUCAGGCUGCACUGCACAGGGAGCCCGAGAGAAAGGUGGAGAGGCCUCCUGAAUGGGGCUCUGGGCAUCACAACAGCUGGUGCCUUCCGGUCAGGACACGCGGGGUCCGCACCGCCAGCUAUGGGGAGGUGGCCGGCUGACAGUGAGUUGGUGCCCAGGGUUCUUGGGACCAUCCCACACAGCAAGACACAGAUAAGACUGCCCAGCCACAGGAGCCAGUGAGCGAGAGGAAUUCCCCAGAUUGUGUCUGGAGGCCAGGUGGGUCCCUCAUCUUGCAUCUAAAGCCCUGACCCCGUGCCCCCCACAGCCUACUCUGAGGUGGGUCCUGGCACACGGUUGCUGCCUCCAGGACAGGGGACAUGAGCCCACAGUGUGGGCCGCCCCUGGUCAUCCUCUGGGGCUGGCCAUGGCCAUGGUCGUGGCACCCUGGGGGCCCAGUGUGCAGCAGUGGAGGCCACAGUGACGGGAAUCUCCAGGGUGGUCUGGCAGGUGCCCAGGCCUUCCCUGGCUCCAGCCCGUUGUCUGGCUGGUUGUGUUCCCCAGGGGCCACCCGAUGCCCCUGGCACUCUCCAUGCUGGCUGGGAAGACCAGUGUCGGCCACUUGGCCAUGGGCAGCCUCCUUCUGGCACUAGCACAUGCCCCUCCCUCCGUCCUCGCUCUGCCUGCCACGUCCGCUCAGCCACAUGGCACUGGGGUGUUUUCACCUGUCCACCCUCCAAACCUGGUGAGUCUCAAGGGCACAGAGAUCUGCCCACCAGGCUGACAUGCCCCGAGGGGGGACUGGACUGGACUCAGGACAGCCCCGGCUCAUGGCAACCUUGCUGUCCACCUGGGCCCCUCGGCCUGGGUGAGCCCUUACUGGGGAGAGGGCUCCUCUGCCCUCCAGCUGAUGGGUGUGUGCUGGCGGACACAGGUCAGGAAGCAAAAGCAGAAAAACCAGGGAGGGGGCGUGCGGUGUGGAGGCGAAGAGGGGUCCUCCCCUGGCCAGUGUGUGUAGCCAGCUGCACCUCAUGCCCCAAGGCCAUGCCCAGGAGCAGCCCCCCGCGGUGUGUCCAGGGGGCAGGGCGCUGACCCCACUUCACCUUCCCCUUAAUCCAGCCGUGACCCUGCCCCACGCCGGGAUGCGCUGGGAUGGCUCGGACGCGGCACCCUGCACAGCAGCUCUGGCUCUAAGCUGCACAAUCGGAUGUCCUGCACAGUCACCGGCUAAUCCAGGACAAGCUGGUGAAGGUCACUCGCCUGGGCACGAGUCGCCACCCUGCACCCCGCAGGACAGGCAGCCCCACUCAGAGCCUUGGACAGCAGGCGGCGCUGCAUGGAGGGGCAGCCGGAGCCAGGCUGGGAGCAAGAGGGCCAGAGGGAGGAAAGAUGCAAAGCAAAGCCUGGAAAUCCAGACGACACCGGCAACAUCCUGCACUCUCUGAGGUUCACCAGCGCACAGACCUGCCUGUGGAUGGACUCACCCUUGUCCUGUGGGUCCCGCCUGUGCCCAGGAGUCCCAGGACCUUGGAGGUAGACACUAGGCAUGAUAUUCAUUCUUCUGCAGAACUGUUCACCUUAAUUUGCUGGAGGUUGUCUUAAAGCAUGGUCUCUAUCCAUCCACAUAUUUAGCAGAAUUGAUUAAAAUAAACUUAACACAUUCA